GUUUUGGUGGACAACAAAGAUUUUCUCAAGGAACUGGAAUGAGAAGAGCGAUGAAUGAAGGUCGAGAUCACAAAACCAU
rnacentral:sRNA from 1 species